rnacentral:rRNA from 1 species
UUCAGGACGAACGCUGGCGGCGUGCCUAAUACAUGCAAGUCGAACGGUCUUUCUAUGGAAGCUUGCUUCCACUGAGAAGAUAGUGGCGAACGGGUGAGUAACACGUGGGUAACCUGCCCAUAAGAGGGGGGAUAACAUCCGGAAACGGGUGCUAAUACCGCAUAGUUUCUUGAUCGCAUGAUCGGGAAAGGAAAGACGGCCUUUGUGCUGUCGCUUAUGGAUGGACCCGCGGCGUAUUAGUUAGUUGGUGAGGUAACGGCUCACCAAGACGAUGAUACGUAGCCGACCUGAGAGGGUGAUCGGCCACAUUGGGACUGAGACACGGCCCAAACUCCUACGGGAGGCAGCAGUAGGGAAUCUUCCGCAAUGGACGAAAGCCUGACGGAGCGACGCCCGCGUGAACGAAGAAGGCCGUGAGGUUGUAAAGUUCUUUUCGGGAGGGGGAACAACCGUGGCAGGGAAUGGCCGCGGGAUGACGUGAAUCCCGGAAUAAGCCCCGGCUAACUACGUGCCAGCCGCAGC